GUCCAACGCUCUCCCAUCUCUGUCUUUGGGGGUUUUAAGGAGGCUUCCUUAUGCAGAUAUGAUUAGUUAAAUCGAUGGCUACUGGUGAUCAACUUAACCUUCAGCCCCUCUCCAGAGUUUAGCAUGCGGGGCUGGAAGUCCCAACCCUCUAACACUGCCUGAGUCUUUUUGGUGACUGGUCCCCAUCCUGAAGCCACCUAAAGGCUGCCCACCAGCAACCAUUUCAUUAGCGUACAAAAACAAAAAGACACAUCACUUUUGGGUUUUGGGAGUUCAAUGCCAGGAAGUUGAUGACAAUACUGUACAGUGAUACCUCAGGUGUCUGCCCGACAGCUCCAAGUCCAUUCUUUUUUAUUUUUAUUUUUUUUUUUUUUUUUUUUUUUUUUUU
rnacentral:lncRNA from 1 species